rnacentral:tRNA from 4 species
UGGGGCGUGGCCAAGUGGUAAGGCAACGAGUUUUGGUCCCGGGACUCCAGGGUUCGAAUCGUUCUGUCCCAG